rnacentral:rRNA from 1 species
GCACGAGCGCACCCCUAUUGUUAGUUGCCAUCAUUGAGUUGGGCACUCUAGCGAGACUGCCGGUAAUAAACCGGAGGAAGGUGGGGAUGACGUCAAAUCAUCAUGCCCCUUAUGACCUGGGCUACACACGUGCUACAAUGGUUGGUACAACGAGUCGCAAGUCGGUGACGGCAAGCAAAUCUCUUAAAGCCAAUCUCAGUUCGGAUUGUAGGCUGCAACUCGCCUACAUGAAGUCGGAAUCGCUAGUAAUCGCGGAUCAGCACGCCGCGGUGAAUACGUUCCCGGGCCUUGUACACACCGCCCGU